CCGGAGGAAGGUGGGGAUGACGUCAAGUCCUCAUGGCCCUUAUAGGUGGGGCUACACACGUCAUACAAUGGCUGGUACAAAGGGUUGCCAACCGCGAGGGGAGCCAAUCCCAUAAAGCCAGUCGUAGUCCGGAUCGUAGUCUGCAACUCGACUACGUGAAGUCGGAAUCGCUAGUAAUCGUGGAUCAGAAUGUCACGGUGAAUACGUUCCCGGGUCUU
rnacentral:rRNA from 1 species